rnacentral:tRNA from 1 species
GUGGUAGCUCAGCUGGUUAGAGCAGGAUGUUUCAUCUCCGUUGUCGUGGUCGCCGUCGGUCUUGUUGUCUGCGUUGUCGUGCGAAUGCAAGUGAAACUCCAUUGUCGCGGGUUCGAAUCCCGCCCGUCACG